rnacentral:rRNA from 1 species
ACAAUGUAGAGUUUGAUCCUGGCUCAGGAUGAACGCUAGCUACAGGCCUAACACAUGCAAGUCGAGGGGCAUCGCGUGCCGGGCUUCGGUCCGGCACGGCGGCGACCGGCGCACGGGUGAGUAACGCGUACCCUACCUUCCCCUUUCCCGGGGCCAGCCCUGCGAAAGCAGGAUUAAUCC